rnacentral:rRNA from 1 species
AACUAAUAAAAGUUAUUAUUUCCCGAAAAUGAAAGAUCUAAUUAUUAUUAUAGUCGUAGUAAUAUUUUUAUUGUUGUAGCAUAAACAAAUUUAAAAUAAUAAUUAGUAGCGAAACACUUACACUUUCAUAUAUAUCUGGAUAAAAAAGAGAUAUAUUUAGUAUAUAAGACAUUUUUAAAGCAAUAAGGUUUUAAAAGACGAAAAUAAUAGAUAGACUAUAAAAACUAGUUAGUAAAACUAAUAGGUGUCAUUAAAUAAAUUAAUAUAUUUUUCUAAAAAUUAUUCUAUCAUAUUUUUUUAUAUAAUUAAACAUAAUUAAUAAUAUUUAUAAUGUAUAAAUUAGUAUAUAAGAUAAAUAUAAAUAAGGAACUCGUCAAAACUUGUCUACGACUGUUUAACAAAAACAUAACCAUAAGUAUAUAAUUAUGGUGAUGUCUGCCCGGUGAAAUUUUAACGGCCGCAGUACCCUGACUGUGCAAAGGUAGCAUAAUAAUUUGACUUUUAAAUGGAGUCUAGAAUGAGUGAAGUUACGUAGACGUAAUGUCUCAUUAAUUAAUAUUUAAAAAUUAUUUAUAGAGUGAAAAUACUCUUCCAUAAAAUAAAAGACGAGAAGACCCUUAGAAUUUUUAAAAAAAUCUAGCUGUCUAGAACUUUUUUUUGUUGGGGCAACAUUAUUUCAAAUAAAUAAAUAAUUUAUAAUAUAAUAAAUCGAUUAAAUAAUUCAAAUUAAAUUACCUAAGGGAUAACAGCAUAAUUUAAAAUUUAAGUUUGUGACCUCGAUGUUGGACUAGGUACUAUUAAGGCUAGUCGUUUUAAUAUAAUUUGUUCUGUUCGAACUUUACUACCUA